rnacentral:rRNA from 1 species
UACGUAGGCAGCAAGCGUUGUUCGGAUUUACUGGGCGUAAAGGGCGCGUAGGCGGCCAGCGCAAGUCGGUUGUGAAAUCUCCGGGCUUAACUCGGAAAGGUCAACCGAUACUGCGCGGCUAGAGUGCGGAAGGGGCAACUGGAAUUCUCGGUGUAGCGGUGAAAUGCGUAGAUAUCGAGAGGAACACCUGCGGCGAAGGCGGGUUGCUGGGCCGACACUGACGCUGAGGCGCGAAAGCCAGGGGAGCGAACGGG